rnacentral:rRNA from 1 species
UGAGGAAUAUUGGUCAAUGGACGAGAGUCUGAACCAGCCAAGUAGCGUGAAGGAUGACUGCCCUAUGGGUUGUAAACUUCUUUUAUAUGGGAAUAAAGUAUUCCACGUGUGGGAUUUUGUAUGUACCAUAUGAAUAAGGAUCGGCUAACUCCGUGCCGGCAGCCGCGGUAAUACGGAGGAUCCGAGCGUUAUCCGGAUUUAUUGGGUUUAAAGGGAGCGUAGAUGGGUUGCUAAGUCAGUUGUGAAAGUUUGCGGCUCAACCGUAAAAUUGCAGUUGAUACUGGCUGUCUUGAGUACAGUAGAGGUGGGCGGAAUUCGUGGUGUAGCGGUGAAAUGCUUAGAUAUCACGAAGAACUCCGAUUGCGAAGGCAGCUCACUGGACUGCAACUGACACUGAGGCUCGAAAGUGUGGGUAUCAAACAGG